rnacentral:tRNA from 1 species
GGAGAAGUGCCCGAGUGGCUUAAGGGGCGUGCCUGGAGAGCACGUGUGGGUUUAUGCUCACCCCGGGUUCGAAUCCCGGCUUCUCCGCCA